AUACGGAGGGUGCAAGCGUUACUCGGAAUCACUGGGCGUAAAGCGCGCGCAGGCGGCUAUUUAAGUUGGAUGUGAAAGCCUACGGCUCAACCGUAGAACUGCAUCCAAAACUAUUUAGCUAGAGUGUGGGAGAGGAAGAUGGAAUUAGUUGUGUAGGGGUAAAAUCCGUAGAGAUAACUAGGAAUACCAAAAGCGAAGGCAAUCUUCUGGAACACUGCUGACGCUGAGGCGCGAAAGCGUGGGGAGCAAACAGGAUUAGAAACCCUAGUAGUCC
rnacentral:rRNA from 1 species